UACGUAGGGUCCAAGCGUUAUCCGGAAUCACUGGGCUUAAAGCGUGUGUAGGCGGACUUCUAAGUACCUUGUGAAAUCCCACGGCUCACCCGUGGAACUGCUUGGUAUACUGGUUGUCUUGAGCCUUCUAGGGGCGAGUGGAACAAAUGGUGGAGCGGUGAAAUGCGUAGAUAUCAUUUGGAACGCCAAUGGUGAAAACAACUCGCUGGGGAAGUGCUGACGCUGAGACACGAAAGCCAGGGGAGCGAACGGG
rnacentral:rRNA from 1 species